rnacentral:tRNA from 1 species
GGGCGGUUAGCUCAGUUGGUAGAGCACCUGCCUUACAAGCAGGGGGCCGGCGGUUCAAGUCCGUCACCGCCCA